rnacentral:rRNA from 1 species
GAUGAACGCUGGCGGCAUGCCUAAUACAUGCAAGUCGAACGAGAGGAAGGAAAGCUUGCUUUCCUAAAUCUAGUGGCGAACGGGUGAGUAACACGUAGGUAACCUGCCCAUGUGCCCGGGAUAACUUCUGGAAACGGAUGCUAAAACCGGAUAGGUAGCAGACAAGCAUUUGACUGCUAUUAAAGUGGCUAAGGCCAUGAACAUGGAUGGACCUGCGGUGCAUUAGCUAGUUGGUGAGGUAACGGCCCACCAAGGCGACGAUGCAUAGCCGGCCUGAGAGGGCGGACGGCCACAUUGGGACUGAGACACGGCCCAAACUCCUACGGGAGGCAGCAGUAGGGAAUUUUCGUCAAUGGGGGGAACCCUGAACGAGCAAUGCCGCGUGAGUGAGGAAGGUCUUCGGAUCGUAAAGCUCUGUUGUAAGAGAAAAACGGCACUCAUAGGGAAUGAUGAGUGAGUGAUGGUAUCUUACCAGAAAGUCACGGCUAACUACGUGCCAGCAGCCGCGGUAAUACGUAGGUGGCGAGCGUUAUCCGGAAUGAUUGGGCGUAAAGGGUGCGUAGGUGGCAGAUCAAGUCUGGAGUAAAAGGUAUGGGCUCAACCCGUACUUGCUCUGGAAACUGAUCAGCUAGAGAACAGAAGAGGACGGCGGAACUCCAUGUGUAGCGGUAAAAUGCGUAGAUAUAUGGAAGAACACCGGUGGCGAAGGCGGCCGUCUGGUCUGGAUUCUGACACUGAAGCACGAAAGCGUGGGGAGCAAAUAGGAUUAGAUACCCUAGUAGUCCACGCCGUAAACGAUGAGAACUAGGUGUUGGGGGAAUAACUCAGUGCCGCAG